UACAGAGGGUGCGAGCGUUGUCCGGAAUCACUGGGCGUAAAGGGCGCGUAGGCGGUCUGCUAAGCGUGCGGUGAAAGCCCGGGGCUCAACCCCGGGUCGGCCGUGCGAACUGGUGGACUGGAGCUUGUCAGAGGCGAGUGGAAUUCCUGGUGUAGCGGUGGAAUGCGCAGAUAUCAGGAGGAACACCGAGUGGCGAAGGCAGGCUCGCUGGGACGGUACUGACGCUGGAGGCGCGAAAGCGUGGGGAGCGAACAGG
rnacentral:rRNA from 1 species